rnacentral:lncRNA from 1 species
UGGAUUAUUUCUCAGUAUGAAGGAUUCUAUCCAAACUUUGAAAUCUCUUUUUUCUUUAUAUGUGAAAAUAUGCAUGCAUGUGCUUUCAUGAAGUAGACAGAAAUGAUAAAUGCUUUCAUUUGAGUUAGAACCAAACACAUUAUAGGUAACUGCUGUGAACUUUGUUAUUACAAUUUGACCUGACAUAUGAGGUGGAAAAU